AUUUUGUUUUCAUUAUUUUUUUGUUUACGUCGGACAUUACUUGAGUUUUAUUUUAUUGAGUCUACCACGUUGAACGUGACGAUGUCCGUUCUAGUCAGGUGUCUUCUGUGAUUUUUGGUCUACAAUUUAAGAGAGAGCGCGAGAACGAGAGUGUUGACUUUUGAAUCCUUCUGGCCGACAUUUAGGCGCUAUUCCUGCGCACGCAGUAAAGAGCAUCUGUGGAGUCUACACACGUCCUGUACUCGGGAGAUAACUCUGUUCUUAAGUGCUAACACUUCAGGAGGUUGAAGGCUCUUGGCAUCACUAAGAUCUAGAAUCUCUUUCAAGCGUCGCGUUCAAAUUCCUUAGUGGUCACCGACUUGGAGGGAACAACUUG